UGCAUAAUGCAAUAUCAAGUGCAAACCAUCAUAGUAGCAGAUCUUCGUUUUUUGUUUGUUUGACGCAUAAAAGAAUAACUGAAUUCCGAUCGGGGAGGGUGAUGACGUGGAGAAGAGUGAAAGAGCAAUAAGGGCAGGUGUCCAGCAGAGAGGCUCCGUUGCAAAAAAAAUAGGGGGCUCCAUUUGCGUUUCCUUACCUGCUUUACUUUUCGACCCGGCGAAUAGGAUCGCUUACUUGUCUUCUUUUCUAUACGCCUUUCGUUGUCUGCCUGCACUCUCUCUUAGUAUUUUUAUUAUUAUUAUUAUUUUUAUUUUUUUAUUAUUAUAGUAAUAAUUUUUGUAAGAAUAAAAAAUAUAAAAAAAGGAAGGAAGGAGCUGCUGAUCCUCAUUUCAUCUGAUUGAUUGAUUACACAACAAGUUGCAAGUUGCAGUGAGUGAGUGACCCAUGUCCUUUUCUGCAUCUGAAACACGGACCCAACUCUGCUCAAAACCUAGGUGCCGAAUUGAUUAGGAAGGAAGGAAGGAAGGAAGGAAGGACAUCAUAUAAACAAACUAUGAUAGGAUGUAGACUUUGCAACAACAAAAAAUGGGCAAAUGUGGAAGAAUGUAUAAUAACUUGGUUCUAUUAAGAAGAGGGACAACAAAGUUGUUUAAAAGUGUACAAUUUACACAAUUAUAAAGUCCUGUUAUGCUAAUUACACAAAUAUUAUACUCAAUUGAAUAAGAUUUCACAAUAAUAGCGGAUAAAAAUAAAUUUAAAAAAAUGGUAAAUAGAUAAUUAAUUUCUUAAAAGAUGAAUAAGUAAUUUAUAUGAUUCAUCUAAAAAAAAUAAAAGUAUUAUGAAUCUGCAUAAUGCAAUAUCAAGUGCAAACCAUCAUAGUAGCAGAUCUUCGUUUUUUGUUUGUUUGACGCAUAAAAGAAUAACUGAAUUCCGAUCGGGGAGGGUGAUGACGUGGAGAAGAGUGAAAGAGCAAUAAGGGCAGGUGUCCAGCAGAGAGGCUCCGUUGCAAAAAAAAUAGGGGGCUCCAUUUGCGUUUCCUUACCUGCUUUACUUUUCGACCCGGCGAAUAGGAUCGCUUACUUGUCUUCUUUUCUAUACGCCUUUCGUUGUCUGCCUGCACUCUCUC
rnacentral:lncRNA from 1 species